AAUAGAUACGGGUAGUCCACGCCGUAAACGAUGAGUGCUAAGUGUUAGAGGGUUUCCGCCCUUUAGUGCUGCAGCUAACGCAUUAAGCACUCCGCCUGGGGAGUACGGCCGCAAGGCUGAAACUCAAAGGAAUUGACGGGGGCCCGCACAAGCGGUGGAGCACGUGGUUUAAUUCGAAGCAACGCGAAGAACCUUACCAGGUCUUGACAUCCUCUGCCAACCCUAGAGAUAGGGUGUUCCCCUUCGGGGGACAGAGUGACAGGUGGUGCAUGGUUGUCGUCAGCUCGUGUCGUGAGAUGUUGGGUUAAGUCCCGCAACGAGCGCAACCCUUGAUCUUAGUUGCCAGCAUUUAGUUGGGCACUCUAAGGUGACUGCCGGUGACAAACCGGAGGAAGGUGGGGAUGACGUCAAAUCAUCAUGCCCCUUAUGACCUGGGCUACACACGUGCUACAAUGGAUGGUACAAAGAGCUGCGAACCCGCGAGGGUAAGCCAAUCUCAUAAAGCCAUUCUCAGUUCGGAUUGUAGGCUGCAAC
rnacentral:rRNA from 1 species